AAAUCAGCUGAUGAGGACUGGAUUUCAAUUUCUCUCGACGGUCGUCUGAGACCUCUAUGUGUGGUGUCUGAUGCAUUGAUCCAAUUUUCUGAUGAUU